rnacentral:rRNA from 1 species
GGAGGAUCCAAGCGUUAUCCGGAAUCAUUGGGUUUAAAGGGUCCGUAGGCGGUUUAAUAAGUCAGUGGUGAAAGCCCAUCGCUCAACGGUGGAACGGCCAUUGAUACUGUUAAACUUGAAUUAUUAGGAAGUAACUAGAAUAUGUAGUGUAGCGGUGAAAUGCUUAGAGAUUACAUGGAAUACCAAUUGCGAAGGCAGGUUACUACUAAUGGAUUGACGCUGAUGGACGAAAGCGUGGGUAGCGAACAGGAUUAGAUACCCUGGUAGUCCACGCCGUAAACGAUGGAUACUAGCUGUUGGAAGCAAUUUCAGUGGCUAAGCGAAAGUGAUAAGUAUCCCACCUGGGGAGUACGUUCGCAAGAA